rnacentral:rRNA from 1 species
GAUGAACGCUGGCGGCGUGCCUAAUACAUGCAAGUCGAGCGAACAGACGAGGAGCUUGCUCCUCUGACGUUAGCGGCGGACGGGUGAGUAACACGUGGAUAACCUACCUAUAAGACUGGGAUAACUUCGGGAAACCGGAGCUAAUACCGGAUAAUAUAUUGAACCGCAUGGUUCAAUAGUGAAAGACGGUUUUGCUGUCACUUAUAGAUGGAUCCGCGCCGCAUUAGCUAGUUGGUAAGGUAACGGCUUACCAAGGCAACGAUGCGUAGCCGACCUGAGAGGGUGAUCGGCCACACUGGAACUGAGACACGGUCCAGACUCCUACGGGAGGCAGCAGUAGGGAAUCUUCCGCAAUGUGCGAAAGCCUGACGGAGCAACGCCGCGUGAGUGAUGAAGGUCGUCGGAUCGUAAAACUCUGUUAUUAGGGAAGAACAAAUGUGUAAGUAACUAUGCACGUCUUGACGGUACCUAAUCAGAAAGCCACGGCUAACUACGUG